rnacentral:rRNA from 1 species
GACGAACGCUGGCGGCGUGCUUAACACAUGCAAGUCGAACGAUGAAGAAGAGAAACGCGAACUUCGGUUCAACUUUCACUUCGGAUUAGUGGCAGACGGGUGAGUAACGCGUGAGCAACCUACCUCUUACAAAGGGAUAGCCUCGGGAAACCGUGAUUAAUACCAUAUGACACAUUCAUAAGGCAUCUUAAGAAUGUUAAAGCUACGGCGGUAAGAGAUGGGCUCGCGUCCCAUUAGCUAGUUGGUGAGGUAACGGCCCACCAAGGCGACGAUGGGUAACCGGCCUGAGAGGGUGAACGGUCACAUUGGAACUGAGACACGGUCCAAACUCCUACGGGAGGCAGCAGUGGGGAAUAUUGCACAAUGGAGGGAACUCUGAUGCAGCGACGCCGCGUGAGCGAUGAAGGAAUUCGUUUCGUAAAGCUCUGUUCUAUGGGAAGAAAAGGACUGUACCAUAGGAGAGAGCCCCGGCUAAAUACGUG